UGAACGCUGGCGGCGUGCCUAAUACAUGCAAGUCGAGCGAACGGACGAGAAGCUUGCUUCUCUGAUGUUAGCGGCGGACGGGUGAGUAACACGUGGAUAGCCUACCUAUAAGACUGGGAUAACUUCGGGAAACCGGAGCUAAUACCGGAUGAUAUUUUGAACCGCAUGGUUCAAAAGUGAAAGACGGUCUUGCUGUCACUUAUAGAUGGAUCCGCGCUGCAUUAGCUAGUUGGUAAGGUAACGGCUUACCAAGGCAACGAUGCAUAGCCGACCUGAGAGGGUGAUCGGCCACACUGGAACUGAGACACGGUCCAGACUCCUACGGGAGGCAGCAGUAGGGAAUCUUCCGCAAUGGGCGAAAGCCUGACGGAGCAACGCCGCGUGAGUGAUGAAGGUCUUCGGAUCGUAAAACUCUGUUAUUAGGGAAGAACAUAUGUGUAAGUAACUGUGCACAUCUUGACGGUACCUAAUCAGAAAGCCACGGCUAACUACGUG
rnacentral:rRNA from 1 species